UACGGGAGGCAGCAGCUAAGAAUAUUCCGCAAUGGACGAAAGUCUGACGGAGCGACGCCGCGUGGAUGAUGAAGGCCGGAAGGUUGUAAAAUCCUUUUAUGACUGAGGAAUAAGUGCUCUGAGAGAAACGGAGGAUGGUGGCUGUAGGUCAUGAAUAAGCAACGGCUAAUUACGUGCCAGCAGCCGCGGUAAU
rnacentral:rRNA from 1 species